AGAGUUUGAUCCUGGCUCAGAAUCAACGCUGGCGGCGUGCCUAACACAUGCAAGUCGAACGCGAAAGCCCCUUCGGGGGUAAGUAGAGUGGCGUCCGGGUGAGUAACACGUGGGUAAUCUGCCUUCGGGUGGGGAAUAACCCAGGGAAACUUGGGCUAAUACCGCAUAAUGCAGCGGCACCUAAUGGUGAUUAGUUGUUAAAGCGGGGGAUCGCAAGACCUCGCGCCUGAAGAGGAGCCUGCGGCAGAUUAGCUAGUUGGUGAGGUAAUGGCUCACCAAGGCGGCGGUCUGUAGCUGGUCUGAGAGGACGGCCAGCCACACUGGCACUGACACACGGGCCAGACUCCUACGGGAGGCAGCAGUGGGGAAUUUUGGGCAAUGGGCGCAAGCCUGACCCAGCAACGCCGCGUGAGGGAGGAAAUCCUUCGGGAUGUAAACCUCACAAGCAAGGGAAGAGAGCCACGGGCUGAAUAAUCCUGUGGUGCGACGGUACCUAGCGAAGCCAAAA
rnacentral:rRNA from 1 species